CCGCGCGGGUGGGAAGACCCUCAGCCGCUGGGGCGCCGUGGCCAACCCUGAGCCCGUUCUCUGGGGCCUGGCUGCUCCCGCCUGCGCGCCCCUGUGUGGCGUUCCAGGUGGUCGUGCUACCCGAGGUUCGCGCGUGCAGGUGUUGUCUGAGGUGUGAGACGCGUCGCUGUGGUUGUCAUGGACACAACACGCUGUUGGGUUGAUCUGUUCCUGUGUGGCCCCCCGCGCGCUGGAGAGCGCUGCACCCCGGGCCCAGCCCCAGCCCGGGUCUGGUUCUGGAGGUGGGUGCGUGGCGUUCUAGGCAAGUUAGCCUUCCCGUCCUAGGCUGAGUUUCCUAUUCUUCAGCUCACUGACCACAGAAAUGAAGGGAUCCAGACUUCAGGCUGGCACAGAGGAUCUGAGAGCAAGUCUCCAAGGCCCAUGUGAAUGACAUCCUGAAGGGCACACCUGGAGCUUACUUUUCCCAUCCCCUCUUUAAUAGCCCACCAUUUCCUGGCAGUGAGAGUUACAGCAUCUGGGACAGGAGACCCCUCUGUGUUCUUAAAAAUAAAAAAAAUAAAAAUAAAAACAAUUUAAAAAAAU
ensembl:lincRNA